UGUGAGCUCGAUGAGUAGGGCGGGACACGUGGUAUCCUGUCUGAAUAUGGGGGGACCAUCCUCCAAGGCUAAAUACUCCUGACUGACCGAUAGUGAACCAGUACCGUGAGGGAAAGGCGAAAAGAACCCCGGCGAGGGGAGUGAAAAAGAACCUGAAACCGUGUACGUACAAGCAGUGGGAGCCCCACCACUAAGCCAGUGGUGAACUCCACAUACGCAUCCUUUGCUGAGGAUACGGUUAACGGAGCGAAAGCGACGUUCAACCGCAAAAGAAGCAGAGGGGGCUUAGUGGUGGGGUGACUGCGUACCUUUUGUAUAAUGGGUCAGCGACUUAUAUUCUGUAGCAAGGUUAACCGUAUAGGGGAGCCGGAGGGAAACCGAGUCUUAAUUGGGCGUUAAGUUGCAGGGUAUAGACCCGAAACCCGGUGAUCUAGCCAUGGGCAGGUUGAAGGUUGGGUAACACUAACUGGAGGACCGAACCGACUAAUGUUGAAAAAUUAGCGGAUGACCUGUGGCUGGGGGUGAAAGGCCAAUCAAACCGGGAGAUAGCUGGUUCUCCCCGAAAGCUAUUUAGGUAGCGCCUCGUGAAUUCAUCUCCGGGGGUAG
rnacentral:rRNA from 1 species